ensembl:snRNA U6 spliceosomal RNA
GUGCUCACUUCGGCAGCACAUAUACUGUAAUUGGAACGAUACAGAGAUUAGCGUGGCUCCUGUAUAAGGAUGACACACAAAUUUGUGAAGUAUUCCAUAUUUUU